rnacentral:rRNA from 1 species
ACUCAAAUGAAUUGACGGGGACCCGCACAAGCAGCGGAGCGUGUGGUUUAAUUCGAGGCUACGCGAAGCACCUUACCAGGGAUUGACAUGAUUGUGGUAGUGAAGCGAAAGCGGAACGACCCUUCGGGGAGCGAUCACAGGUGAUGCAUGGCUGUCGUCAGCUCGUGCCGUGAGGUGUUUGGUUAAGUCCACUAACGAGCGCAACCCCUAGCGCCAGUUACACGUGUCUGGCGCGACUGCCGGUAUGAAGCCGGAGGAAGGUGGGGACGACGUCAAGUCAGCAUGUCCUUUAUACCCUGGGCGACACACACGCUACAAUGGCCAGCACAAUGGGUCGCCAAGCCGUGAGGCGGAGCCAAUCCUAAAAAGCUGGUCUCAGUUCGGAUUGCAGGCUGCAACCCGCCUGCAUGAAGUCGGAGUUGCUAGUAACCGCAGGACAGCUAUACUGCGGUGAAUACGUUCCCGGGUCUUGUACACACCGCCCGU